rnacentral:rRNA from 1 species
UCCUACGGGAGGCAGCAGUGAGGAAUAUUGGUCAAUGGCCGGAAGGCUGAACCAGCCAAGCCGCGUGAAGGACGAAGGUGCCAAGCAUUGUAAACUUCUUUUGUCAAGGGACAAAAUCAGGCUCGAGAGCCUGACCGAGGGUACUUGAAGAAAAAGCAUCGGCUAACUCCGUGCCAGCAGCCGCGGUAAUACGGAGGAUGCGAGCGUUAUCCGGAUUUAUUGGGUUUAAAGGGUGCGUAGGCGGGCUGUUAAGUCAGCGGUCAAAUGUCGGGGCUCAACCCCGGCCUGCCGUUGAAACUGGCGGC